UUCUGGGCCACAACCGAAGUGCAAGUGGUUAGGCAGACUGCCUACUACUGUAUACCUUUUUUGUUUCCUUUCAGAGACCACCUCUUACUGGGUACGUUUCCCCCCCCCCUUUUGAGACACCAUUGAAGGGCCAGUGGUUACGCAGGCAGGCUGGAUAUUACGACACAAUUGGCAUACAUUGGGUGAUGCAGGCAGACUGCUUAGUGUGCACCACUCGUCGUUUAGUCUAUUGAGGUGCUACAAGUGUUGUGUCAGUCUAUUUCCUCUCCGAAAAUAAAAUGUUGGGCUCUACACACA